AAUGGGUCAGCGACUUAUAUUCUGUAGCAAGGUUAACCGAAUAGGGGAGCCGAAGGGAAACCGAGUCUUAACUGGGCGUUAAGUUGCAGGGUAUAGACCCGAAACCCGGUGAUCUAGCCAUGGGCAGGUUGAAGGUUGGGUAACACUAACUGGAGGACCGAACCGACUAAUGUUGAAAAAUUAGCGGAUGACUUGUGGCUGGGGGUGAAAGGCCAAUCAAACCGGGAGAUAGCUGGUUCUCCCCGAAAGCUAUUUAGGUAGCGCCUCGUGAAUUCAUCUCCGGGGGUAGAGCACUGUUUCGGCAAGGGGGUCAUCCCGACUUACCAACCCGAUGCAAACUGCGAAUACCGGAGAAUGUUAUCACGGGAGACACACGGCGGGUGCUAACGUCCGUCGUGAAGAGGGAAACAACCCAGACCGCCAGCUAAGGUCCCAAAGUCAUGGUUAAGUGGGAAACGAUGUGGGAAGGCCCAGACAGCCAGGAUGUUGGCUUAGAAGCAGCCAUCAUUUAAAGAAAGCGUAAUAGCUCACUGGUCGAGUCGGCCUGCGCGGAAGAUGUAACGGGGCUAAACCAUGCACCGAAGCUGCGGCAGCGACGCUUAUGCGUUGUUGGGUAGGGGAGCGUUCUGUAAGCCUGUGAAGGUGUGCUGUGAGGCAUGCUGGAGGUAUCAGAAGUGCGAAUGCUGACAUAAGUAACGAUAAAGCGGGUGAAAAGCCCGCUCGCCGGAAGACCAAGGGUUCCUGUCCAACGUUAAUCGGGGCAGGGUGAGUCGACCCCUAAGGCGAGGCCGAAAGGCGUAGUCGAUGGGAAACAGGUUAAUAUUCCUGUACUUGGUGUUACUGCGAAGGG
rnacentral:rRNA from 1 species